rnacentral:rRNA from 1 species
CCUGACGGUAGUCGUAUGCUCGUCUCCGAGACUAAGCCAUGCAAGUCCAAGUACACGUCCUUGAACGACGGAAACUGCGAACGGCUCAUUAAAUCAGUUGCGAUCUACUCGGCGUUCCGCGCCGCCGGAUAACCGUAGUAAUUCUAGGGCUAAUACGUGCGAAGCGCCCCGAAGCCGCGAGGCGACGGGCGUUCUCGCCGGAUGUAGGAACCGACCCGGGGACCGCCGGGGCAACCCGGCGCCCCCGAGACGGGGCGAACCACGGUGAAAUGACGGGAUCGUCGGCCCCGCGCCGGCGACUCGCCGAAUGAGUUUCUGACCUAUCAACUCGUAGACGGCGGGGGUAGAGGCCCGCCGCGGUAACGACGGGGUAACGGGGAAUCAGGGUUCGAUUCCGGAGAGGGAGCCCGAGAAACGGCUACCACUUCCAAGG